rnacentral:rRNA from 1 species
AACGAACGCUGGCGGCAUGCCUAACACAUGCAAGUCGAACGAAGUCUUCGGACUUAGUGGCGCACGGGUGCGUAACGCGUGGGAAUCUGCCCUUGGGUGCGGAAUAACUUCUCGAAAGGGAUGCUAAUACCGCAUAAUGUCGUAAGAUCAAAGAUUUAUCGCCCAAGGAUGAGCCCGCGUAAGAUUAGCUAGUUGGUGGGGUAAGAGCCUACCAAGGCGACGAUCUUUAGCUGGUCUGAGAGGAUGAUCAGCCACACUGGGACUGAGACACGGCCCAGACUCCUACGGGAGGCAGCAGUGGGGAAUAUUGGACAAUGGGCGAAAGCCUGAUCCAGCAAUGCCGCGUGAGUGAUGAAGGCCCUAGGGUUGUAAAGCUCUUUUACCACGGGAUGAUAAUGACAGUACCUGGAGAAUAAGACUCCGGCCUAACUCCGUGCCAGCAGCCGCGGUAA